rnacentral:rRNA from 1 species
UACGCUCCAUAACUAAAACCUGAGCUUUUUUUCCGCUCCAUAACCGGAAUGCUAGGCUUGGGGGGUUUUAAGGGGCGUUUGGGAGGAAAGGGGCAGGCGCUGUGCUCUGCGCUCCCUCGCUGGUAAGAGAGAAGAGGCUGCCGCUGCCACGGACGGAGGAGGAGUGAGGCGGGUGGCGGGGGCGGGGUCGUCGGCGCGGCAGGCGGCGACCAAGAAGGAGCGGCGGACCUGGACAAGCAGCUUCGGCAUGGUCGGCUCGGCCAGUGAGGAGGAGGCUGGGGCUGCGGCCGAGUAGGGGACGGCGGCGGCAGCUGCGGCGGAGUAGGGGACGGCGGCGGCAUCUGCGGCGGAGUCGAGGACCACAGAGACUGGGUGUCCGGGAGGGCCGUUGGACGGGAAUAAAUGCAAAGAACAGUCUUUCUGUCGCCCAUUUUUAGGUACUAUAUGCAACACUACCGUGGUUUAGGUAGUCCAGUCAGGGUUCUUUUCUUCUUUUGUUUUCUCUUUGUCGGAUACUUCUAUGUGAUACUGGACAAUUUGGAUUCCUACUUGGUCCGACUUGUCUUUCACUGAACACUCGAAUACUACGGUCGUUUCAAUGGUCUAAAGAUGUUGGGAGGGGAACCACGACUAGGCCAACAGGAGGUACACUUUGUAGGUUGGGUUCUGUUCGUAAGACAAUGAAAUUACUCCCUAACGAAUGUAUUCUUGGAAGACGUACGUUUUGAACAGUCACUGUUUCUAGGUAUAGACGAUCAGAAAUGACUGGCUAUGUGUCCUUACAAUUGUCGUAUGAAGUUCAGGUAGCUUGGUAAACAUCGAUUCAUACGGCUUGGCCCGGCCUAUGGUAAGGGCAGGCGAUUCGAAGUUUCACAACACUCAGUUUACGAACUACCAAACUUCCCUGACACCAAGAUACUGUUCAUGGUACCUUUGAACUCUAACCUGUUGUGUAUGAUGAUAUUCUGUUUUCUACCACUACAGCAACACUUCAACCGUUCAAAAUUUACAGUUCCAUGAUUUGAAUUUCUGGGACGUUUUUUCCCUUUUCUAUUUUGUCUCUGACAACGUGUAAUGGUCCGCCUUCUAAAUGUUCGUUACCCGUGACGCGACCUUCUUUAUAGAGUUUACCGAUCACUAAACUCACUCUUUCCGAUAGACAACCUAACGUCUGUCUAACUGGUGGAACGGCUUUCUGAUUUUCUUCACAGGUUCCCUCUCUACCCUUCACGUAUCUACUUGGGCCUUAGGUUGACGAAGUCACCUACGCUGACAGUAAAGUUCCUUAGUACCACAAAAAGACCAUGAUAUGAGAAAUGACGGUGCUGGAGGUUCUGGGCAAUUGGUCCCCACUACAAUUCUACCAUUUCGUACGUUCUGGUCUCUACGGUCACUGUCAAUCGUCAAGCUCCUGGCACCGACGGCAUUGUUCCGAAUUUCAUUGACGUCAUACU